CAUCCAUACGUGCGCGCAUAUGUGAGUGUAAAUAUGCUAGUCCCUUCACGAGUAUGUGAUAGAUGGUGCAUGCCCGUUCUUAGUUCGUGGAGAGAUAUGUCUGUGUAAAUGCGUGUCACUCUAGGGUGUAUACAUACGUAUAUAUGUGGCGGGUUUGACCCCUCAGUCUUGCACUGAGAGUGUGUGUUAUGCGUAGCGCUCGGUGCACAAGAGCCCGAAAGCGCAGAGAGUGUGAGCACCAUCUCGUGGCGUUUUUCUCACACUCUCUCUUGUACUCUUGAGUACGCAUUGAUAAGAAAGCUUGUCAUUCGUGACUACAUAAACUAGAGGGACCGCUGUUACUUUCUUAAUCCAGAGGAAGGUUGCGGCAAUAACAGGUCUGUGAUGCCCUUAGAUGUUCCGGGCUGCACACGUGCUACAAUGAUUAUUGCAGUGAGCAUCUCAUUUUAUUACACACCGCACGUGCGUAUCUAUAUAUCUCACUGUUCGCAGUAUUUAUAUACGAUUACUGCACGCGGUAAAGCCUACUUCGAAAGUAAGCGGGUAAUCAAUUAGAAGUAAUGAUUUCCACACACACUCUCGUAUACUGCACACAUAUAUGCGGCGUAUAUACCCGGCAUACCUUGUUGCAUGUUAUUGUGCGUAUGUACGUACUUUUUCCGCAUGUGCAAUUGUCAAUUCAUGGUGGGGACAGACCAUUGUUUCAAUUGUUGGUCUCGGUCUUAACUAGGAAUGCCUUGUACGGGUCUUUGGUUCAACAAACCACCCGGAAUACGUCCCUGCCCUUUGUACACACCGCCCGUCGCUCUUACCGAUGGACUUCUCUGUGAGUUUGAGGGACUGUACUGUCUAUUCGUUCGCGAAUAACUAUUAGGAAACUUAAACGAA
rnacentral:rRNA from 1 species